rnacentral:rRNA from 1 species
CCGGGGCGGCGUGCCUAUACAUGCAAGUCGAGCGGACAGAAGGGAGCUUGCUCCCGGAUGUUAGCGGCGGACGGGUGAGUAACACGUGGGUAACCUGCCUGUAAGACUGGGAUAACUCCGGGAAACCGGAGCUAAUACCGGAUAGUUCCUUGAACCGCAUGGUUCAAGGAUGAAAGACGGUUUCGGCUGUCACUUACAGAUGGACCCGCGGCGCAUUAGCUAGUUGGUGAGGUAACGGCUCACCAAGGCGACGAUGCGUAGCCGACCUGAGAGGGUGAUCGGCCACACUGGGACUGAGACACGGCCCAGACUCCUACGGGAGGCAGCAGUAGGGAAUCUUCCGCAAUGGACGAAAGUCUGACGGAGCAACGCCGCGUGAGUGAUGAAGGUUUUCGGAUCGUAAAGCUCUGUUGUUAGGGAAGAACAAGUGCAAGAGUAACUGCUUGCACCUUGACGGUACCUAACCAGAAAGCCACGGCUAACUACGUGCCAGCAGCCGCGGUAAUACGUAGGUGGCAAGCGUUGUCCGGAAUUAUUGGGCGUAAAGGGCUCGCAGGCGGUUUCUUAAGUCUGAUGUGAAAGCCCCCGGCUCAACCGGGGAGGGUCAUUGGAAACUGGGAAACUUGAGUGCAGAAGAGGAGAGUGGAAUUCCACGUGUAGCGGUGAAAUGCGUAGAGAUGUGGAGGAACACCAGUGGCGAAGGCGACUCUCUGGUCUGUAACUGACGCUGAGGAGCGAAAGCGUGGGGAGCGAACAGGAUUAGAUACCCUGGUAGUCCACGCCGUAAACGAUGAGUGCUAAGUGUUAGGGGUUUCCGCCCCUUAGUGCUGGCAGCUAACGCAUUAAGCACUCCGCCUGGGGGAGUACGGUCGCAAGACUGAAACUUCAAAGGAGUUGACGAGGGGGCCCGCACGAAGCGGCUGUAGCAUGUGGUUUAUUUCGUAAGCACGCGGAGAACAUUACUAGUCGUGGACAUGCUCUGACAGACCUACAGAUAGUCUUUGUCCUUUCGGUGACGGACUGAACAGAUGGUGCAUGCUGUCGUCAGUCUCCUGUCGUGACAUGAUGUGUGUUAGUUCUGCAAACCAGCGUCGAACC